AUUGAACGCUGGCGGCAGGCUUAACACAUGCAAGUCGAGCGGUAACAGAGAGAAGCUUGCUUCUCUGCUGACGAGCGGCGGACGGGUGAGUAAUGCCUAGGAAUCUGCCUAGUAGUGGGGGAUAACUCGCCGAAAGGUAAGCUAAUACCGCAUACGUCCUACGGGAGAAAGGAGGGGACCUUCGGGCCUUUCGCUAUUAGAUGAGCCUAGGUCGGAUUAGUUAGUUGGUGAGGUAAUGGCUCACCAAGACCGCGAUCCGUAACUGGUCUGAGAGGAUGAUCAGUCACACUGGAACUGAGACACGGUCCAGACUCCUACGGGAGGCAGCAGUGGGGAAUAUUGGACAAUGGGGGGAACCCUGAUCCGGCCAUGCCGCGUGUGUGAAGAAGGUCUUAGGAUUGUAAAGCACUUUAAGUUGGGAGGAAGAGCAGUUAACUAAUAUUUGACUGUUUUGACGUUACCGACAGAAUAAGCACCGGCUAACCUCGUGCCAGCCGCCGCCGUAA
rnacentral:rRNA from 1 species